rnacentral:rRNA from 1 species
UACAGAGGUCCCAAGCGUUGUUCGGAUUCAUUGGGCGUAAAGGGUGCGUAGGUGGCGGGGUAUGUCGGAUGUGAAAUCUCGGGGCUCAACCUCGAAACUGCAUUCGAUACUGCCUUGCUAGAGUACUGGAGAGGAGAUCGGAAUUUACGGUGUAGCAGUGAAAAGAGUAGAUAUCGUAAGGAAGACCAGUGGCGAAGGCGGAUCACUGGAAAGAAACUGACACUGAGGCACGAAGGCCAGGGGAGCAAACGGG